GCAGCACAGCGCAGCGCUCCUGGAGAGGCUGUGGGUUCGUGGCAUCCGCGCCGCGGCCGCAAGUAUAGCAGGUUUCGUACCUGGUGUUCAUCGCCGUUAAGUCAUCGCUGCUGCCACCCAGGCACGGCUCUCUAUGCCGCCGCUCCCUCCACCCUCUAGGCACUGCCUGCCGUAAGAAUUUUAACUGCGACACUCGCUUCAGCAGGAGAUUUUAUUGGCUGCAGACACACGCAGCAUCUUCUUGCGCUCCUCCUUGAGGUGGAUGGGCAGCUAGCUGGAGAUGACACAGGAUGAUGCGCAUCUUUCGCACGCUGGCUCCAAGAUCUCCGCUGCCAGUGACUUCAACAGAAGUGGAGUAAAUAAAGAUGAUCACAGAACUUGGAAGCUGACGAAAUUAAUUUUGGAAAAGAGCUGGCUUGGAGCAUGACAGAAGAAUUCGAUGGAAAGAGUGCUGGGAGCCCAACUCAAGACUGAUGUGUGCUUGGCAGGCAGUCUACCCCCGAUCUCAGUCCUCCAGCCUUUCGGCCUUUUUUCCUUUUUGGAGACAGAAUUGCAUCAUAUGGCAUCCUACACAGUCCUGCCUCAGUCUCUGCAGUGCUGGGAUUGUAGGCCUAUGCCACCUAGCCUUUCUACAAUACAAACAAAUAUGAAAAGAAGAGGGACUUCUUUGGAAAGGAGUACAGGGACUA
ensembl:lincRNA Ftx Ftx transcript, Xist regulator (non-protein coding)